CGAGAGGGAAGAGGGUCACAGGGAGAAGCAGACCCCCCGCUGAGUGGGGAGCCCGAUGCGGGACUCGAUCCCGGGACUCCAGGAUCAUGACCUGAGCCGAAGGCAGUCGCUUAACCGACUGAGCCGCCCAGGCGCCCCGAGAAAGGUGUUCUUGAGACCAAGGUGACUGAACCCGUUAAGACCUCUGUGUAAACUUUUAAGGUUCUGGCUGCUGUGCGGAGAGCCCCUCGUCCUGCGGCUGCCAAGACGAGCCUGGUAAGUCCCCGGCUUGUGAACCCCGCCUCCGGCUCUGGAGGGGCUGCCCCUCUCUUGCGCCUCUCCCUGCGCUCCGUGUGCGCAGGCGCGGGGGCGGUUUAGGACCCGACAUCCGCUUUUGGAGAAAGCCGAAUUCGGACCCUCCCCACGGCUUGCAAGAUAAUGUCCACAUAACCCCAUCUGGUCUACAGUGCAGAUGAAUAAGCUGACACUCAGGGUGGCUGAAUCAUUUGCUCAAGGUCACACAUCUGCAAAGUGAAUGGGGCUGGAUUCAAACCCAGCACUGCCUCUUCUGAACAUGUCUGGGAGCGGGACAGCUGAGUCAUACGGAGCUGUGUUUUCAUUGAAAGUCAACAAAUCUUCGCUUAUGAUUUUAAGCUUGGAGACUACAUAUUUCUUGAAGUUGAGAAUGUAUGAAUGUCUCAGAACCUGGGGUGGGGUCCGUCCAAAUCUCCGUUCAGCCCGGUGACCCGCAGCAACUUACCUGAAAUCUCUGUUGACACCUUCCUCCAGAUGCACAUUGUUUAUGCUUCUCUACUCCCUGAUUUUCUGUCUGUACAAUGGUCUCCACCUUCCUCGUCCAAUAGGAAGUAAGCACUGUCUGCCCGAAGGACAUGAUUCUUGGGGAUGGCAGUGAUGUUCAUGUUUAAUGUCUAUCUAUCUAUUUAUUUAUUUAUUUUACAAGCCGAUUC